AUGGGCUGACCCCGGGAAGGAUUUCUGUUUAAGACUUGCUUCUCUUUGCCCGGCUUGCCCUGUUUUCAAGUUGCGCCUGGGAUAUCUUCCCAAGAACUGGCUGUCUUCACUGAAGCCCUUUCCAGAGCUUAAGAUCUAGUUGGGAUGAUAAGCUGUAAACCCCUGAAGAGAAAGCUCUGAGUCUCACCCACUUCUGGGACUGCCUUGGCUGAAGAGGGAAACCUGACCUGAGGUUACACCUCCUUCCUUGAGCGGUCACAUCCAAUGACUCAUCAGUGAACAACGGCCCAGCCCCCUCAAGAAAACUCUCAAGUCAUCUCAGCUUCAGAACUUCCGGCAUUAUGGCUGGUGAGGCCUCCAUCAGACUGCAAGGCACCUCGGCUUCUCCCUCUACCCACUUGUGGUUCCCUUCCUUCCUUUGCACAGGUGUUGAUUCUAAGUGCACUCCCUAAUAAACCUCUCCUGCGCUAAUCUCCAACCAAUGAGAUCUUGAUUUCCCACACGUGCUAUCACAUUUGAUGGUGUGAAAAAAACCACACUCUGCAUCUUUAAGUUCUGUGUAGAAUUUAAGUGAUUAACAGAUAUGAAUGGAGCAUUUACUACUUGCUAGGUAUUGAAGAUAUUUAAAAUUAAUAAAACUCUACUUUUAAAACACUUACUCAGUCUGUCUCCAAGAAAGUUAUGUUGUAAUCUAAAACAAAACAGAUGAAAAUCAAUAUUUAUAUUUACCUUAAUUGCUUGAGAAAGAGAUUUUAUGGAUUCUGAUCUAAACUUUUUUUUUUUUUAAUGAGUUUGUGGAUGAUGAAUCUGGUGAACCUGUAACUUCCUAGGAGGUCUGAAUUUAAGUUUGUAAAAACAAAUGAAAGCUAAGAUUCGAAUAAGGACAGAUAUCCUGAAUGUACGGACUACGGUACAAGAGAACACAUUUUUUCAAGGUGAGAUUUGAGGAUUAAAUA